AGCGAACGUUUGCGGCGGGCCUAACACAUGCAAGUCGAACGCACUAGCAAUAGUGAGUGGCGCACGGGUGCGUAACACGUGGGUAAUCAACCCUUCAGCCUGGGAUAACGACUCGAAGGGGUCGCUAAUACCGGAUACGGCGCGAGAGGCUUCGGCUUCUCACGAGAAAGCCACGCAAGGGGCACUGAAGGACGAGCCUGCGGCCCAUCAGCUAGUUGGUGAGGUAAGAGCUCACCAAGGCUAAGACGGGUAGCUGGUCUGAGAGGAUGAUCAGCCACACUGGAACUGAGACACGGUCCAGACUCCUACGGGAGGCAGCAGUGGGGAAUAUUGCGCAAUGGGCGAAAGCCUGACGCAGCCACGCCGCGUGAGCGAUGAAGGCCUCGGUCGUAAGACGUCUGUGGGAGGAGACGAAGAAAGACCUGUGAGAGCAGGCC
rnacentral:rRNA from 1 species